AUUGGCCUAUUAACCCCCUCUAGGCAUAUAUAGUCAUCCUACAGGUAUUUUCAUGCUUGGUAUUGGAGGGAGAGGCGUCCAAGUUGUAUACCAUUGGCUGUGGAGAAAGAUGCCAGGAGUGACCUUCCUGAAAUUGGCUCAAAGAAAUUCAUUGUGUACGGUGAUAUGCCUCUUGGAGAAUUUGUUGAUUAUAUUCGAUUUACUAUCGGGGUCAGCAGAGAAAAGCCUAUAUAUGUCUUUUCAAGAACACUGAACCUCCUGCUGGUGCCUUGAUGGUCGAAAUCGACAAGGAAAACAAGGAUGAAGAUGAUGGAUAUCUUCACAUUACCUACAGUGAAGAAGGGAGUGUCUAUGAAUGCAAAUUGCAAUGAAGAG